GGACUACAGGGGUAUCUAAUCCUGUUUGAUCCCCACGCUUUCGGGUCUGAGUGUCAGUGUCUGGCCAGUAAGCCGCCUUCGCCUCCGGUAUUCCACCUGAUAUCUACGUAUUUCACCACUACACCAGGUAUUCUACUUACCUCUCCAGCACUCAAGCUUCGCAGUAUCAAAUGCACUUCCAGGGUUGAGCCCUGGGAUUUCACACCUGACUUACAAAGCCACAUGCACCCGCUUUACGCCCAAUGAUUCCGAACAACGCUAGGAUCCCUCGUCUUACCGCGGCUGCUGGCAC
rnacentral:rRNA from 1 species